GGGAAAGGCUUAAAACCCACAGAGGCUCAGGGCUGGCGCCCACAGCUGCCCCCACACAGCCCGCAGAAGGCACAUCCCACUGGCAGAGAAGGGGCCCGGGGCGGAGAGACGCCCGCGCGGACUGGAAGGUUAAUGAAAGACUGACCCACACGGGGCUCACCUGGAGACGGGGAGUGAGGUCAGACAUUGCUGGGAGGCUCUAAGAAGUGAAAUGACCUCAGGAGUCUGUCUGGCAGAAAACCCUCCAAGCGUGUCCUACCAGGACCUUUGUCACUAGUGAAUGAUUCUUUCCAACUGAGCUAAGAUUUCUGCAGCCUCUCAGCAUGAUAGGUACAUCCCUGGAGUGACCAGGAAGAGGGGUUUCUGUUCUAUGUCCCUCAGGCAAAGACAAAGCAGAUGAACCUGGCUAAGUCAUCAGGAGAGGGGAAAAACCAGAGAUGGUUCAUCACAUGAGCAGCUGCACCCAGCAUGCCAGGGCUUUGCGGUAGCAAUCGGGGUCAGCUGGAACUCUAGAGCCGGUCUGCAGUGGGAGUCCUGGGAGUAGUGCCCAGGGGAAGAAUUCCCCCUGAAGAGAGCAGACCUCACAUGGGCUGGGUGGGACUCUGCUGACGCUCUGCACCCUGUAAAGGUGAUCCAGGGUCUCAGACAGGAACCAAAGGAGGUCAGUCCUUAAUGGAAAGAUGAGCACAUGAACACAGUAAAAAAAAAAAAAAAAAAAAAACAGAAAAAACAAACAAACAAACAAAAAAACGCUGAUGUUGUACACCUAAAAUGAAUAUGUUUUACAUUUCAAUAAAACUAGAAAGGAAAAAAAGAGGCAGGGAUCAACAUUCUGACUGUAGAAGCUGAGUGACUUGCAUGGUAUGCUCACAACCACACAGCCCAGGCUGAAGAGGGCUGUUGCAAGGCCUGCCUGUGAAUAAGGGCCAUUUUUACUGGGGGGGGAAAAAAAUGCAGAAGCGUUCAUUUUCCAGUUAUUAAGAAUGGGUUGAUUUUAUGCCCAAAGCAAGGCUCUGGUUAACAACUCAGUUAUCCUGGGGGAAAGAGUAAACUGGCCUCUACCCUUUUCCAUUUCCAGCAUUUGGGAGAAAGAAAGGAUUAGAUAAAAUGCUUUAUUUUCUCUCAUGCUACAUUGUGGGCAGGAGUGCAUAUAUUAGGCAGAAACCAUUUUCAACAGGAAAUCAAGUAAACCAGGAGGAUUUAUUCACAGGAGGCUCCCUUUGGCUAGAAAAGGAGAAUUAUUAACAACAAUGGAAUAGUUCUCUCUUUCCAUGUUCCUCCUCUUCCCCCCCGCCCCCGGCCCCCACCACCACCUCCCACUCGCUACUGUGAGGGGAAACCACCGCGGUGAGAUUCGACAUCUGAGCCCCUGUAAACGCCUCUGUAUCCAACAGCCAUACUGAGAGUGGAUCACAGCUUGUCUGAACGCUAGGUCCCCAUGCAGCAUAACUGUUCUCAGACUGCAAGGCUGACCCCAGUUACUGAUGCUGGACUGGGGUAGAUAGUGAGGAAGAGAGUCAGGGAGGAUCCAUUACUCCAGUCGUGUUAUUACCGUUUAUGAUGUUGUCUUCCACUAAGUAUUUGUUUUCUAAAAUCAGUUCCCACUAGGGAUUCUUUUUCUCUCUUUGCCCUUUCAGAAAAUUGAUGCAACCAGAUUUCCCAUCCAUUUCUGCAGGAAGUCUUCCUUCCCCUUGCAGGUGGCCGCAGAUCACAGGCAACAGAUCCCUUUAUUAGCGUGUCUGUUGCAGCACACGCAAGUCCAGCGUCUUUCUUUCUCUCCAUUGCUCAAGAUGCUCCCAACCGGUUAUCCCUCUUUUUUCUUUGCUCAGGUCUCUCCGUGAAACUGACGCGAUUCUCUGAUGGUGCUCAGAGACUGGUGGAAGGUGCAAGUGAAGUUAACACUUCCACGGCUACUGGCUUCCCUUAGCAGAGCUGUGGAGUGUGACAAUGGUGUUUGUGUCCAAACUAUCAAACGCCAUCAUCACACUAAACAGCUACUGUUAGGCAGUCCUUCUGCUCCCUGAAGGUGUUGGCAUCUGCUCGGUAUGGGCAGGAAUGUUCAUCUCAUAGCAGGGCUCCCAGUCCUGUGUCAUUGCUGAGGAAAUUCUGGUCCUUUUGCUCAUAACCAACAUGUCAUCUGAAUGUUGCCUCUUCUCAUGCUGUUGUUUUAAAUAAUUAAUUGAUUUUGAGUCUUUGUGUUUUCCCAAGUCAAUAAAACGAUUGCACCGUGCCCCAGAGCACCCAAGCAGCAGGUUAGUCUCGUGGUAAUUGUUCAACCCACGCUUACUGAGCUGAAAUGGAGAGGAAGAUGGUAGAUGCGGAAAACUAAAGCUGGUUUAAAUCUAGGGUUUGUAAACCACAUGCUUGUAGGUAAAAAAUGAAGGUAUGUGGAUCUUCUACUUGUCAUCAUGAAGACGACUUUCCAAUAAACGUGUACGUGGCCUAAAUGAACUUUCAGAAAUUCUA